AUAUUUUGGGUAGUAGAAGCAGUAGUUACAAGGGUAGUGGUGUCUUUUGUGGUGGUGGUGGCACCUGCUGCAGUUGUUCAUAUUUGGGGUGCAGGAGUAGGGAGGGUAGGAUCAGUUGGAGAAUUUACAGGGAAAAAUGGAGGUCCAGGUGGAUAGGGUCUUGGUUGGGAAGGUGGCUGUGGAUAACCUGGGCCAUAAGGAG
rnacentral:lncRNA from 1 species